rnacentral:lncRNA from 1 species
UAAAAUAAUGAAGUGUUAAUAUUCAAAGUCAACUCGUGACUAUUCAAAGCUCAAAAUCUUAUUUUUGUGAGAAGUGUUGGUGCACAGCUUGGAAACAACACACACUUUGGGAACAGAGAUCUGGGUUUGAAUCCCACCUCUACUGUAUACUAGAUAUUUGACCUGAUGGAUGACACACUACUUUUCUAAACAUCAAUGUCCUCAACUGUGAAAUGGAUUUAGAACACUUUUCUCACAGAGUUGUAUUUACUAAGCUAAUGUCUAUAUAGCUUUCCCUCUACACAUGCUACAUAGGAAACAUUUUGAACUAAUAGCCAUUUUUAUUGGGAUUCAUACUAUUUCCAUGAAUCAGUUCAUAUCAUGCAUUCUCUCAUAAGCCUUUCUUGACUACCUUUAGCUCAACUCCCACAAACUUAUCUUAUCCAGGGAAGAAGCAACAGCUGAGGAAACAGGAUCUCAAAAUACAGAAAAGGUCUCAAAAUAUUAGUAUCUGGAAAAUUAGUCAAAAUCUCUGGGGGAGGCCUUGGAAGUCCAUUGGAAUCAGAAGUUUUAAAACAAUUUAUGGGGCAAGAAAGGAUUUCUCUCACAUUUGCGUUAAAAUUAUUUCUUUAAAAAGCACUUUGAUGUAAACAUUUGCAAAAUGGUUUUUGAAAAACCUGCUGCUUUUCAGAAAUCCAGCUACUGAGUCAAUCAAGUGAAAGUGCAGAUACUAAAUUUACUGACUUGUUAUUAGGCACAUCUGAGUUCGUGUCCCAGUUCUUCCGCUUAUGAGCUGGAAGCUUGGAUAAUUUGCUUGACAGCUUCAUCAUUCAGUUUCCUCAUCUGUAAAACUUGACUUUAAGAGAAAGAACUAUCUCUAAUGGGGAAAAAAUAUAUAUUUUAAGGACCAGCCGUCAAAGGUGGGCCUCAGGAGGCUUUGCAGAUAGGCCAUGACCAAAGUCAAAAAGGAGGCAAUCUAUGCUCCACCCAAGAGAGAAAAGGGAAUUGGAGGCUGCCAGGAUGAUGGAGAAGGGAAGGAAUGGAGAACCCCUUUGUAUUUAUGUUUUUAUAAGGCCCUCACAGACUGGGUCUUGAUCAGCCUCAGUUAAGUUGUUUCCCUCGCCAAGGCUGAUAUCAUUUUUCCUGACUAGACCUUCACCCAACAGCAGCAGGUGACUGAUAGCAAAGUUAGUUUACUAAGUUGGUUAGUAAUUGCAAAAUACAUGUGCUACUUCUUGAUUCAGGUGGCCUCACUGGAUUAUUCUUCAAUCAUGAUUCCACCUUGAUGUCAGCGAAGGACCUGGGAAACAUACACAUCUACAGAACAUAUUUCAGGUCCUCACCCGUUUCACCUCUUGGCUCGAAUGGCUCCUUCUCUGAGAGGCCUUCACCAACCACAAAAUAGAGGCCUCCACCUCACACCACUUCCUAGUCCUUUAGUCUGUUUUAUCUUUAUUCACAGCACUUAGCAUUUCCUGAUAGUUUAUAAUAUAUUUAUUUGUUUAUCCGUAUGACCCUUUGCAAUGUACGUUUCAUAGGAACAGGGACUUUGUUUAGUUUUCAGUGUACCCAGUGGUGUGCUGGUACAUUUAGCAACCAACUCUCUAGAAAAGAGAGAAAAAAAGCCAUGACUGGUUUCCAUGGUGUAAAGACUCCAACUAUGCCCAAUUUCAAGCCACGAAUAUGAUGUCACAAAAUGCAGGCUUGGAAAGAGAUGCAGAAAUUCACCCUUGCAAGAUGGUGCAAGCCAGCUCUAGAAAACUUCCGGCUUCUAGGACAGUGCCUUCCUUACGGUAGGUACUGAGAAAUUGAGCAAUUCACAAUAGAAUGGAUAUGGCAGCAGCUUCAAAAUUUACAAAAUAGUUGAUUAUGAUCACAUGCUACACCCUCGACUUGCUGAUGGGGCAGCGUGGAUUCAACCAGGAAUGUCCUCCUUCCUGAAUGGAUGAUGAUGGGGCAAACACAGCGUUCCAGUCACUAGACAUGUACCUCCUAUGCAGGUGGGCACACAAGACAGCUGACUAAGGGAAGAAAUGCAUGAGAAAUUUGCAAAGAGGGAAAGCCAAGAGCACCUGUAGUGUUCUGGAGGUAGCUGCACACUGACAUCCCUUCACACCCAGUGGCCUCUUGUGAAAGAGAAGGCAAUGCAAUGCCGUCGGAGACAAAGCCCAGCUGAAGAGAGGCAGUGCACUUGCUGAUGGAUACUAAAUGAAAAGCAGGCAGAAAUCAGCAAUGCAUCCAGCUUCUGUUGAGGGAGAUUCAGUGGAAUGAUUUUUAUAUUUUCAUGAAGAAAUUACAGUUGAAUAUUAAAACCUGGUAUUUCAGUUUAUCUGGUCUGACUCCCAUCUAACUAACCAACAUAGCCAUGGAUUUUGUAAAACUCACUUAGCAAAUCAUCUUAAUUGGUACCAAAAAAGUGAUGGCUAUGGAAAUAUUGGCAUUUCUAUGUGCAUAACUGAUGUUUUUAUGAGGAUAAGAGGGAGAGAAGAAUCACAUUUCAAAGAAGCUUCUACUGAAAUAAACUAACCAGAAGAACUAAUUGUGGCAUACUUAACAGCUUUGAGCUUUAUGUGUACACUACCUAUGUUUCCUGUUCAGCAAGUGAAUGUCCCCAGGCCGGUAGGGGCAAUGUGAAGAUGAAUCUUAUAUCUCCAAUUUCUCGAAGAACAUUUAUUCAUCUUCCUGGAAUUCACUCAUUGCCAGUUCUUUUAGAAAUACUGACACAGUUAAUAGUGUCUAAUGUCGUGGAUGACUGCCUUCCACCGAUGUCGUGACUUCCCACCCAAGAACCAAUGACUUCUUUCUCUGUGAUUCAGCUCUCCACUGACCCUCAUGGGCAAGAGUGGGGUUUCAGCAAUUAUUCUUUCAACCUCUAUUGAUUAAUCACACGAUAUAAGCCAGACACAGUUCUGGGCAGCAGGAUACAAUAGUGAACAAGACAACCCCAAAUCCCUGCUCUUGUGGAACUGACAUUUUCUCAUGGGGUGUGGGGGUUGGGGAAGAAUGAGAGAUGUUAAAUGCAAAACCAAAAUAAAAGAAAUUUUAAGAUCAUGUGAUAGGGAGUGGCUGGCUGGUCAGGGAUAGCCUCUCCAGGACUGGGACAUUCAUGGGAGUUGACAUGUGAAUUAUGAGAAGAAGCCGACAAUGCCAAGAUCACAUGGCAACACGUUUCAUGCAAAAGAAACAGCCAGCAUGAAGCCUGUGAGCUGGGAACAAGACCGGCUCAGGUCAAGGGACAGACAAAAAGGCCAACAAGGCUGAAAAAGAAUAAGGAAGAGGAGAGGGGUGUGAGGUUCAGCAGGAAAGAUCUGAAGGACUGGGUCAGACAGGGUUCUUCAGGACAUGGAAAAGAAUUUGAAUUUUUUAAAUAAAUGCAAUGAGAAGACACUGGAGAAUUUUAAUCAUGAGGGUAACAUAGUCUGUUUUGCAUUUGAAAACUAACAUUGUGACUGUUAGGCAGCAAAUGAAGUUGCCCUCCCCCAGUCCAUCCCUGGCCGUGGUUGAUCGAAACAUAAGUGACCAUCUUACCCGGUGUGUUUUUUGUCACUAUGGAAUUUGCAUUUAGGAACAAAGGGUCUGUGUUUAUUCAAGUGGUCUCUUCAUGGGGCCGAUACUGUAACAUACAUAGCUGGGGGUCUGAGGCAGCCACGUUGUGCCAAGGGCACUGAGGAGAAAAUGGCGGCCUGCUGGAUUCUUCUUUCUUCUGAGGCUCAGGUGACUGCUUGUCCUCAUAUCACUCCACCAGACUGUCAGGAGCUAAGCGGAGCUCGAGAGAGCUGAGCUGCCAGGUGUCAGGGUAGCUGAUUAAGACAACAAGCCAAGAUGAACAGUGAAGGCUUUAAUCAUUUACUGCAAUAGUAUGCACAAGAGACUAAACCAGAGAAAGUGCCGACUCCCCAUCAUUCCAUUUUCCCCAGCGCACCAGCCCUCAUUGAGGGUCUGGAUCAGCACUGAAGCCAAGGGAUUGUCUCACAGCUGAGGGACCCCUGAACAAGAGACUCCCGCCAUCAAAUGGAUCUGGAGCUGGCGGGGGGUGGGGAGAAGGAAGGGCUAUGAGUGUGAAAGUACUGAGCACUGAGUCAGAGUGGAGAAAAACAUCUCCAAGCCUCCCCGCUUCUUCUCCUUGAUAAGGUGACCCCUGCAGAGGUGUCUAAGAUAAGCCUCUGCAGAAAGCCUGUGAUAAAGAGGCCUCCAAAGAGAGGCACCUGGGCCAGGAAUGUGGAUGUGCAUAAGAGCAAGGCUGGCUGGGGGGACUCAGUGCUUGACUGCAACUCCCCUCAGAGACUCAAUGUGUCGGCUGUGCCCCAAGUCUGCAGUGGGGAGGGCAGUUUCUCCCCACGAGGUCUGACAGGUAAAGCCUGGUAUUAAUAAUUGCUUAUGGCCAGAUGUGAAAGUUCACACAUAGGUUUAGGGCUACGAACUGGUACUCCAAACAGACUAUGCUAGGUGCUUACUAUAAACCCAUCUACAGUAGAGCUUGAGUAACUUCUGCUGCUUGAAACUGGCACUCUAACUAAUGAAAUUUAAAAUGAACCCCAAAAUGAGUUAGAGUCAAAUAAUGACAGGAUGUGGGAAAUGAUCACAACAUAGGUAUAGACUCCAGAAAAAUGGGCACCACUACCCAUAAGAAGACGCCCAGAGAUAUCUUGCAGACUAUUUAAAUUGAGAGCAAGAGUUUGAGCCUGUACAGUAUUUCUGGCAAUCCAAAGAGGCAAACCCAGGGGCAGGAGCUAGAGAACUUGAAAUAUAACCAGAGUGGCCUAUCUCUGAGCUUACCUGUUGGCUUACUCUUUGCCAGAAAUUUCUGUUGUGCAACAAGAAUGAUAACAGUUGGGAAGAGAAGAAAGGUGCAAGAGAAGCCCUUGACUAUCUCACCAAACCCAUCCCCUCCCUCUGCUUCCUCCUUCACUCUGCUUUGGCCCCACUGGUCUGCUCCCUGUUGCCCGACAAGUUCACACCCCAGGUCCCUUGUAUAUGCUGUUCCCUUUGCCUGAAUUGCUCUUCCCUUCAGCCCUUGCUAGACUCCUUCAUUCAAGCCUCGGCUGAAACGUCACCAUUUUCAAGAGUGACCUGGCCAUUCCAUCCCAAAUGGCAGUUCUAUCACUUUUUAUCCCCUAACAGUGGUUUCUAUUUUUCUUUAUAAUACUUAUCACAACCUGAUAUUAUGAUUGAUUGCUUUGUUAGUUCUUGUGUCUUCCUGUGCCCACACUAGAAUGUAAGCUCCACGAAGUUGAGAGCUGUUUAGUUCAUAAAUCACUGCAUCCUCAGAGCCUAGAAUAGCACCCAGGA